rnacentral:rRNA from 1 species
AUUGAACGCUGGCGGAAUGCUUUACACAUGCAAGUCGAACGGCAGCACGGACUUCGGUCUGGUGGCGAGUGGCGAACGGGUGAGUAAUGUAUCGGAUCGUGCCCAGUCGUGGGGGAUAACGUAGUGAAAAUUACGCUAAUACCGCAUACGAUCUAUGGAUGAAAGCGGGGGAUCGCAAGACCUCGCGCGAUUGGAGCGGCCGAUAUCAGAUUAGGUAGUUGGUGGGGUAAAGGCCCACCAAGCCAACGAUCUGUAGCUGGUCUGAGAGGACGACCAGCCACAAUGGAACUGAGACACGGUCCAGACUCCUACGGGAGGCAGCAGUGGGGAACUUUGGACAAUGGGCGAAAGCCUGAUCCAGCCAUUCCGCGUGCAGGAUGAAGGCCCUCGGGUUGUAAACUGCUUUUGUACAGAACGAAAAGGUUUCUACUAAUACUAGGAGCUCAUGACGGUACUGUAAGAAUAAGCACCGGCUAACUACGUGCCAGCCGCCGCCGUAA